UAUUAAUUGGUAUGACCAGAUUCACUUCAGUAUGUUCCAUCUAUGCACAAAUGAUGGAUCCAAUAGUGACUCUAUUCGGAAGUGUUCACGAGAAACAGAACGAAACCGGAAGCAUGAUCUUCCCAAAUUUCGGAAGCAUGUUUCAUGGCGAUCAGCAUAAACCCGAUAACUGGGAUGUAGAGAGUAAUCACGAAAAUGGGAACUUAUCCGUGGACGAAACUAAUGAUAAUGUAAAAACCCCGUUGCUAUCGCUUAAUUCAACUAGUGUAGAUAAAGACAUGAUUGCUCCGGUUUCUAGGAGUAUGUUAAACACAGUUCAGCCUAGCGAGUCGAAUAGUGUGAUAGGGAUUGGUGGUGGGUGGCAGUUGGCGUAUACGAAGACCGAAGACGGGAAGAAAGCGGGCGGGUUGCAGCGGAUUUACUUGCACCAGGAGGGUGGUGCAGAAUCCAGACGCGGGUCCAUUGCUUCACUCCCGGUUGCAGACGACGGUGACGGGGUUCGGGCCUCGGCUCUUGUUAGUAGAUCAGUUCUUUGUUUAGAUAAUACGAUGGGUCAGAACCCGAUUCAGUCGGGUCUGAUCAAGCCGCAACCGUCUACUAAAGAUGUGAGGAGUUGGGCUGAUCUUUCCAAGCUGGUAUUAAACAAGCAUUGAUUGUUGGUGUUGGGAUUCAAAUACUACAACAGUUCACCUAUACGAGUAACGCGAUGCUGGUAUGAAGCAGACGUCAAAGAGUGACGAUAAAAGCAACCUCCUUUGUUUUGGGCGUUGCAUUAAUACAACAGGGAGCUACAACUGUACAUGUUGGCCAGGAUACAUCGGUGAUGCAAAAACACCAGAUGCUUGUCGACCAAUCUCUAAUGGUUCAAAAUUUCCAGUCAUGGUAUUCACAUUAGCUGCGUGGUUCUUUAUUAACAACAUCGGCCAUCGGCCAUGUUAAAACUUAAUUACUUAGUAAAUGGUCCAAUAUAGUUAGUGUUGUGCCUAUAUAUGUAUGUGUGUGACGUGACUUACGCCUAGCAGUAUCUAAAUGGAAAGAUUUUUAGUUUUUCA